AACGAACGCUGGCGGCAUGCCUAACACAUGCAAGUCGAACGAGACCUUCGGGUCUAGUGGCGCACGGGUGCGUAACGCGUGGGAACCUGCACUUAGGUUCGGAAUACCUCCCCGAAAGGGGUGCUAAUACCGGAUAAUGUCUUCGGACCAAAGAUUUAUCGCCUUUGGAUGGGCCCGCGUUGGAUUAGCUAGUUGGUAGGGUAAAAGCCUACCAAGGCGACGAUCCAUAGCUGGUCCGAGAGGAUGAUCAGCCACACUGGGACUGAGACGCGGCCCAGACUCCUACGUGAGGCAGCAGUGGGGAAUAUUGGACAAUGGGCGAAAGCCUGAUCCAGCAAUGCCGCGUGAGUGAUGAAGGCCGUAGAGUUGUAAAGCUCUUUUACCCGGGAUGAUAAUGACAGUACCGGGAGAAUAAGCCCCGGCUAACUCCGUG
rnacentral:rRNA from 1 species